rnacentral:lncRNA from 1 species
CUGACUCUUAAUUAUAUAAAAGUACCUUGAAUUUUUAAGUUUAAUUAAAAAGCAAAAUGCUCUGCGGACAUGUUCAUGAGAAUAUAAUUUUUUUGUGUAACGAAAUCUACAACACUUGUCAAUCAUAUUGCAUGUGUGUCUAAAAAUAACAUGUGGGCGUCCCACGGUCUAGACGGGUUUUGUGUCAGGCCCUAUUUCAAAUUAGGGCCUGAACUUCAGGUUAU